AUUGAACGCUGGCGGCAUGCCUUACAUGCAAGUCUAACGGCAGCACGCGUGCUUUCACCUGUUGUCGAGUGGCGAACGGGUGAGUAAUACAUCGGAACAUGUCCUUUAGUGGGGGUAACCCCGCGGAAAACGGAGUAAUAUCGCAUACGAUCUUCUGCUGAAAACCGGGGGCCCUCGGGCCUCCUCGCUGUGGGGUGGUCGCUGGCCGAUUAGCUAGUUGGUGGGGUAAAGGCCUGCCAAGGCGACGAUCAGUAGCUGGUCUGAGAGGACGACCAGCCACACUGGGACUGAGACACGGCCCAGACUCCUACGGGAGGCAGCAGUGGGGAAUUUUGGACAAUGGGCGAAAGCCUGAUCCAGCAAUGCCGCGUGUGUGAAGAAGGCCUUCGGGUUGUAAAGCACUUUUGUCCGGAAAGAAAUCCUUGGCCCUAAUACGGUCGGGGGAUGACGGUACCGGAAGAAUAAGCACCGGCUAACUACGUG
rnacentral:rRNA from 1 species